GAUGAACGCUAGCGGCAGGCCUAACACAUGCAAGUCGAGGGAGAGGUUACCUUCGGGUAACCAAGACCGGCGCACGGGUGCGUAACGCGUAUACAAUCUGCCUUUCACAUAGGGAUAGCCCGAAGAAAUUUGGAUUAAUACCUAAUGGCAUAUAGGAGCGGCAUCGUUUUUAUAUUAAAGCUACGGUGGUGAAAGAUGAGUAUGCGUUCUAUUAGCUAGUUGGAGAGGUAACGGCUCCCCAAGGCGACGAUAGAUAGGGGUUCUGAGAGGGAUGUCCCCCACACUGGUACUGAGAUACGGACCAGACUCCUACGGGAGGCAGCAGUGAGGAAUAUUGGACAAUGGUCGGAAGACUGAUCCAGCCAUGCCGCGUGCAGGAUGAAGGUCCUAUGGAUUGUAAACUGCUUUUGUAAGGGAAGAAUAAGGAGUACGUGUACUUUGAUGACGGUACCUUACGAAUAAGCAUCGGCUAACUCCGUGCCAGCAGCCGCGGUAAUACGGAGGAUGCGAGCGUUAUCCGGAAUCAUUGGGUUUAAAGGGUCCGUAGGCGGGCUGAUAAGCCAGAGGUGAAAGCGCUUAGCUCAACUAAGCAACUGCCUUUGAAACUGUCAGUCUUGAAUGAUUGUGAAGUAGUUGGAAUGUGUAGUGUAGCGGUGAAAUGCUUAGAUAUUACACAGAACACCGAUGGCGAAGGCAUAUUACUAACAAUUUAUUGACGCUGAUGGACGAAAGCGUGGGGAGCGAACAGG
rnacentral:rRNA from 1 species